GCGAGUAGCUCCAAUGGUAGAGCAUCGGAUUCCAAAUCCGACUGUUGUCGGUUCGAGUCCGACCUCGCCUG
rnacentral:tRNA from 1 species